rnacentral:snRNA from 1 species
GUGCUCGCUUCAGCAGCACAUAUACUAAAACUGGAAUGAUUCAGAGAAGAUUAACAUGACCCCUGCAUGAGGAGAAAUUAAAAAAAAAAUAGUUAAAAUACCCAACAUUC